rnacentral:rRNA from 1 species
AUUGAACGCUGGCGGCAGGCCUAACACAUGCAAGUAGAACGAGUGGCGGCCGGGUGAGUAAUGUCUGGGAAACUGCCUGCUGGAGGGGGAUAACUACUGGAAACGGUAGCUAAUACCGCAUACCAUCAGAUGUGCCCAGAUGGGAUUCGCUUGUUGGUGGGGUAACGGCUCACCAAGGCGACGAUCCCUAGCUGGUCUGCGAGGAUGACCAGCCACACUGGAACGGAGACACGGUCCAGAUGCCGACGGGAGGCAGCAGGGGGGAAUAUUGCAGAAUGGGCGCAAGCCUGAUGCAGCCAUGCCGCGUGUGUGAAGAAGGCCUUCGGGUUGUAAAGCACUUUCAGCGAGGAGGCGUUACUCGCAGAAGAAGCACCGGCUAACUCCGUGCCAGCAGCCGCGGUAAUUC